UACGAAGGGGGCUAGCGUUGUUCGGAAUCACUGGGCGUAAAGCGCACGUAGGCGGUUUGUCGCGUCGGGAGUGAAAACUCAGGGCUUAACCCUGAGCCUGCUUCCGAUACGGGCAGACUAGAGGUAUGCAGGGGAGAACGGAAUUCCUGGUGUAGCGGUGAAAUGCGCAGAUAUCAGGAGGAACACCGAUGGAGCGGAAGGCAGGUCUCUGGGACAUUAACUGACGCUGGAGGAGCGAAAGCAUGGGGAGCGAACAGGA
rnacentral:rRNA from 1 species